CCAUGAUGUCUGUGACGCAGCAUCAAAAUCAAAUCCGUAACAUUGAAUUGACAACUGAUCCCAAAAAAAUGCAUUAAACUUCUAAAAAUAAAGGUAUUUUGCACCCCAAUAAUUGCAACGCAGUGUGCCCUCUUAUGCCCUUAUCAGUAGAAACGGUAGUCAUUUUUGAAUUCUCUCUGUACGACCCUACGUUCCUCUACUCGUCAGCCUACCACCCUUAGGACUGUGCAUGAGAAAGCGCGCUCAGAGUGCCACAGGCGGCAGAGCCGCAGAGCCUCAGAGUCCCCCCUCUCCCCACACUUUCCCUGCCAGGCCGCCCUAGACUACAGCCACUUGUGACCCCUAACACCAUCUAAUUAUUCAUCUAUUUCUCAUAGCUGUGCUCUUUAUCCUCUCUUUCUUUCUCGGCCAGUCGUCCUUCUUCUUUAUUUCACUGUUUCACUAGGUGGGCUAUGUCUUUAUGAUGCUCUUUUUCUUCCUCUUCAACAUCUGUCUCAAAGUUCCCUGUAUAAAUAUCACACCCUUGGCUUUGAACAAGCAAGGCAUCUUGGGUUUACUGCUAGGGCGGGAUGAUAAUUACUACUACUUUCUUUUCUUCCGAUAUACCGUUCAUCAUUGAUAAUUCUCUUCGUUUCUAGUUUUCAAUUUUAAAACUACAGUAAAUGGUCGAUCUUACCUCUUAUCAUAUAGAGAACCGGUGUUACCUCUAAAAGGCAGUGUUCUCUUCUUCGUUUGCUCCUUUGAAAUUGUUGCUUGUUCUUUCAGUUACCCACGAGAGGAAAUGGGGGAAGUAAUUAUUUUCCUGAUGAUGCAUGUGCAUGUUUAUCUCUUCAUUGAAUUAUUUUGCUCUUUCAAUGGAAUCCAAGAAAUCCUUCUUCUUGUCUCUUUGCCUUGUUCUAGAAAUGCCUACUUUCUCGUUAUUGAUUCGCAUGGAUAUGUAUGUAAGGGAGUUGACAUGGAAGAGAUGUUCGCAAAGGAAAAAAUGAAGCUGCCAGCAUGAUCUAGCUCUGGUUAGAGACAUCAGAGAGGUAAUACUAACCCUAACUAGGUCAUGCUCUGACAGCCUCAUUCCUUCCUCAUUGUGGAACCACUACAAUACUUCAAAUACACUUCGAAUCUGACGGAGAAAACGAAUCAGAAAGCAAGUAGGAGGAAUCACUUUUAAGGGAAGUAUAUAAUUCCUACCUCAGAUUCUGUCAUACCCGGCAGGCGUGCUUGGAUCAGGUGCUGUUGGCAUGGCUGACUUGUUUGUGAAGAUUGAUGUGGUGAUCAUCUGAAGCUCCUUGAGACAGUCUUUUAAUUUAUUUUCUUGUAUUAUUUUCAGUAUCGGUUUCAGCUUUGCGUUCACAUAAUUGAACCCUUCCCAGUAUGAUAACUAGCUUGGGCAAAUGUAAACAUUAAGGACUCUUUUCAGUAGAUGGUGCACAUUUCGAAA